CCCUUAGAUGUUCUGGGCCGCACGCGUGCUACACUGAGUGGAUCAGCGGGUCAGGUUGCGCGAAAGCGUUUCCUAAUCUUUAAAUCCGCUCGUGAUGGGGAUUGACGGUUGCAAUUUUCUGUCAUGAACGAGGAAUACCUUGUAAGCGCGGGUCAUCAUCCCGCGCUGAAUACGUCCCUGCCCUUUGUACACACCGCCCGUCGCUCCUACCGAUUGAGUGGUCCGGUGAGGCUUUGGGAUCUGAGCGGAAAGAGCGUUUCGCUGUUUCUGCUCGGUAAACUCAGUCGAACCUUAUCAUUUAGAGGAAGGAGAAGUCGUAACA
rnacentral:rRNA from 1 species